CCGCCGGCGACCGGCGCACGGGUGAGUAACACGUAUGCAACCUGGCCGUGACAGAUGGAUAACCGGGAGAAAUCCCGCCUAAUACAACAUAAUGCCGGGAGGGGACAUCCCCUGCCGGCCAAAGGGGGCGACCCCGGUCACGGAUGGGCAUGCGGCGCAUUAGGUAGUUGGUGGGGCAACGGCCCACCAAGCCGACGAUGCGUAGGGGUUCUGAGAGGAAGGUCCCCCACAUUGGAACUGAGACACGGCCCAGACUCCUACGGAAGGCAGCAG
rnacentral:rRNA from 1 species